CAGCUCUAUUUUGAAGGGAGUUAUGCGCUUUUGAAGUUGGAGGUGAGAGAGUGAGAGACGGCAGAGAAAACGACUGUCUGUUUCUCUGCAGCCUCGCCUCCAAAUUCAAAAGCGCGUAACUCCCUUCAAAAUGGAGGUU
rnacentral:sRNA from 13 species